UGAGGAAUAUUGGUCAAUGGGCGGAAGCCUGAACCAGCCAAGUCGCGUGAGGGAGGAAGGCCCUAUGGGUCGUAAACCUCUUUUGUCAGGGAACAAAAGCGAGUAUGUAUACUAGUCUGAGUGUACCUGAAGAAAAAGCAUCGGCUAACUCCGUGCCAGCAGCCGCGGUAAUACGGAGGAUGCGAGCGUUAUCCGGAUUUAUUGGGUUUAAAGGGUGCGUAGGCGGCGGUGCAAGUCAGCGGUAAAAGCCCGGGGCUCAACCCCGGCGAGCCGUUGAAACUGCAGUGCUAGAGAAGGCGAGAGGUACGCGGAAUGCGCAGUGUAGCGGUGAAAUGCUUAGAUAUUGCGCAGAACUCCGAUUGCGAAGGCAGCGUACUGGCGCCUGACUGACGCUGAGGCACGAAAGCGUGGGGAUCGAACAGGAUUAGAUACCC
rnacentral:rRNA from 1 species